AUGGGUCUGACGAAUUUCGUACUGACGGUGGCCGGCGUAAGCGCCGUCGUCCUUCUUCUAAGGAGCGACGUGAAGCAAUCCGCGUCGAUUUUCAAACGCAACGUCAAACAAAUUCGCCACUGGCUAGAAGAAGAAACCGCCAAUUCUUCAAAGAAAAUGGAGCAGACUAAAAAGGAACUUGAAUCGAAAGUUAAAGACAUUCAUAAGGACGAUAAGCACUAA